GAACGCUGGCGGCAUGCCUAACACAUGCAAGUCGAACGAGACCUUCGGGUCUAGUGGCGCACGGGUGCGUAACGCGUGGGAACCUGCCCUUAGGUUCGGAAUAACUCCCCGAAAGGGGUGCUAAUACCGGAUAAUGUCUUCGGACCAAAGAUUUAUCGCCUUUGGAUGGGCCCGCGUUGGAUUAGCUAGUUGGUAGGGUAAAAGCCUACCAAGGCGACGAUCCAUAGCUGGUCUGAGAGGAUGAUCAGCCACACCGGGACUGAGACACGGCCCAGACUCCUACGGGAGGCAGCAGUGGGGAAUAUUGGACAAUGGGCGAAAGCCUGAUCCAGCAAUGCCGCGUGAGUGAUGAAGGCCUUAGGGUUGUAAAGCUCUUUUACCCGGGAUGAUAAUGACAGUACCGGGAGAAUAAGCUCCGGCUAACUCCGUG
rnacentral:rRNA from 1 species